ACCUCUGUAAACCCAUCAGAGACCAUAAGCAUGUGGAGAGCAUGAAUGGAAGACACAAGGACAUAAUUUGGUACACAAAACCAGUUUCAGCGGUGAAAUAUGAAGGAACCCAGCUUAGCUGAAAUGUCCUAAGAGUGAGUAAUUCAGAUAUAUGCAGGACGUUGAUCCAAACCCGCAGGCCAGGUCCGGAAGCUGCAUACCAACAACCACAUAAAUUGCAAAGCUCAGAGGAGGGAGGCUAAAAUUGUGCAGAGCUGGAGAGAAAUUGCAGAGAAAAUAACAAAAAAAAAAACCCACCACAAACCCACAAAAAAACCCCAGUCACCAAAACCAGCCAACCAAUCAACCAACAAAAAUACCCAAAAAAGGGAAAAAGAUCAAGAAAGCAACUUGGAAAGGAUAAAUGAAUUUAAUGUGAAAAAGGGACUUGAAGAAUCUCAAGAACAGAAGAAAAGAAACAGGAGGGGAUUGAAAGGCACCAGAACUUAUGGUGUACAAAUGCCUGAAACUGAGACAAUCCUCAAGCCUGGAAACAAAAGCACCUCUCCCUCCCCAAGUACAGGCAGCCCAAGACCUUCACUGAGCAGCACAAAUAACCCCAGUAAAUUGUCCAGUUUUGAAAACCCACCUUCA